GACGAACGCUGGCGGCGUGCCUAAUACAUGCAAGUAGAACGCUGAAGGAGGAGCUUGCUUCUCUGGAUGAGUUGCGAACGGGUGAGUAACGCGUAGGUAACCUGCCUGGUAGCGGGGGAUAACUAUUGGAAACGAUAGCUAAUACCGCAUAAUAGUAGAUGUUGCAUGACAUUUGCUUAAAAGGUGCAAUUGCAUCACUACCAGAUGGACCUGCGUUGUAUUAGCUAGUUGGUGGGGUAACGGCUCACCAAGGCGACGAUACAUAGCCGACCUGAGAGGGUGAUCGGCCACACUGGGACUGAGACACGGCCCAGACUCCUACGGGAGGCAGCAGUAGGGAAUCUUCGGCAAUGGACGGAAGUCUGACCGAGCAACGCCGCGUGAGUGAAGAAGGUUUUCGGAUCGUAAAGCUCUGUUGUAAGAGAAGAACGAGUGUGAGAGUGGAAAGUUCACACUGCGACGGUAUCUUACCAGAAAGGGACGGCUAACUACGUG
rnacentral:rRNA from 1 species